UACGUAGGAGGCAAGCGUUGUCCGGAAUCACUGGGCGUAAAGCGCGUGUAGGUGGUGGGACAAGUCUGCUGUGAAAGCGCCUGGCUUAACCGGGCGAGGUCGGCGGAAACUGUUCGACUCGAGGACGGUAGAGGGGGGUGGAAUUCCCGGUGUAGUGGUGAAAUGCGCAGAUAUCGGGAAGAACACCUAUGGCGAAGGCAGCUCUCUGGGACGGUACUGACGCUGAGACGCGAAAGCGUGGGGAGCGAACAGG
rnacentral:rRNA from 1 species